GACGAACGCUGGCGGCGUGCCUAAUACAUGCAAGUAGAACGCUGAAGGAGGAGCUUGCUUCUCUGGAUGAGUUGCGAACGGGUGAGUAACGCGUAGGUAACCUGCCUGGUAGCGGGGGAUAACUAUUGGAAACGAUAGCUAAUACCGCAUAAGAGUAGAUGUUGCGUGACAUUUGCUUAAAAGGUGCAAUUGCAUCACUACCAGAUGGACCUGCGUUGUAUUAGCUAGUUGGUGGGGUAACGGCUCACCAAGGCGACGAUACAUAGCCGACCUGAGAGGGUGAUCGGCCACACUGGGACUGAGACACGGCCCAGACUCCUACGGGAGGCAGCAGUAGGGAAUCUUCGGCAAUGGACGGAAGUCUGACCGAGCAACGCCGCGUGAGUGAAGAAGGUUUUCGGAUCGUAAAGCUCUGUUGUAAGAGAAGAACGAGUGUGAGAGUGGAAAGUUCACACUGUGACGGUAUCUUACCAGAAAGGGACGGCUAACUACGUGCCAGCAGCCGCGGUAAUACGUAGGUGGCAAGCGUUAUCCGGAUUUAUUGGGCGUAAAGAGAGUGCAGGCGGUCUUCUAAGUCUGAUGUGAAAGCCUUCGGCUUAACCGGAGAAGUGCAUCGGAAACUGGAUAACUUGAGUGCAGAAGAGGGUAGUGGAACUCCAUGUGUAGCGGUGGAAUGCGUAGAUAUAUGGAAGAACACCCGUGUGAACGCGGCUACUGGUGUGCACUGACGGUGAGACUCGAAGCAUGGUAGUGAAAGGAUUACAUAUCCUAGUAGUCCACGGUGAGUUCACAUUGAUAUGAGCGCGCGCAUCCGCCCCACCCCGCGGGGUGCGGUAGGCGCGGCGGGUUCCACUGUUAUGUCAAGAUAGAAUAGAA
rnacentral:rRNA from 1 species